UCUGUAGCAUGCACAAGAUGAGAAAUACC
rnacentral:piRNA from 1 species